UCCCCAGGAAGGCGACGGUAGUGACUGCACACAGGCCGGCAUUACGGUGCCUCAUGGGUAAUCACAAAGGCGGGAUUAUGGUAUGCCGUUCCUUUUUCGUCUUGUUCCCAGCCUGUCACUCAUGUCACCUCUCACAUGAGUCUCCAGCUGAUCCUCUGCUGCUUCAGUCACGUGCACAGAAUCACAGAACACGAACCAUAAGUGAGCUUGAACAGAUAACGUGCUCCCACAGAGGACAGGCAGGUGGAAUGAGACGUAAAGAUGACGAGCUAAGAGGAGUAAUUGACAGCGUUAAAGAAACAGAGUUGUGGCCCAACUCUCCUCAAGAGAUGAGUCACUGAAAAUGUGUAAAUAAUCGGCAAACCCAACACGUCUGAAGAGCCAGACCUCCUUCACCUGCGGAGGAUCCAUCCCACCCUGCCAGCAUACACAUUUCUCAUGCCCACAGGUGUUCCUGAUUUAGUGGGAGGAUUGAAAAACGGGUGCUAAGAUUGAGCGAUGAAAGUUGGCUAAAUUAAGUUUAGCUGCUGCUCCUGUUUCUCCAAACUUGGGGCGUGCCGACCGCCAUCUACUGUAGGUAACACACCGGCUGAGGCAGACACAUCAGAGAGACUCCGACACACACA